AUUGAACGCUGGCGGCAGGCCUAACACAUGCAAGUCGAGCGGAUGAGUGGAGCUUGCUCCAUGAUUCAGCGGCGGACGGGUGAGUAAUGCCUAGGAAUCUGCCUGGUAGUGGGGGACAACGUUUCGAAAGGAACGCUAAUACCGCAUACGUCCUACGGGAGAAAGCAGGGGACCUUCGGGCCUUGCGCUAUCAGAUGAGCCUAGGUCGGAUUAGCUAGUAGGUGAGGUAAUGGCUCACCUAGGCGACGAUCCGUAACUGGUCUGAGAGGAUGAUCAGUCACACUGGAACUGAGACACGGUCCAGACUCCUACGGGAGGCAGCAGUGGGGAAUAUUGGACAAUGGGCGAAAGCCUGAUCCAGCCAUGCCGCGUGUGUGAAGAAGGUCUUCGGAUUGUAAAGCACUUUAAGUUGGGAGGAAGGGCAGUAAGUUAAUACCUUGCUGUUUUGACGUUACCAACAGAAUAAGCACCGGCUAACUUCGUGCCAGCAGCCGCGGUAACAC
rnacentral:rRNA from 1 species